AAUAUUGCACAAUGGGCGCAAGCCUGAUGCAGCAACGCCGCGUGCGGGACGAAGGCCUUCGGGUCGUAAACCGCUUUUCUGGGGAAAGAGCAAGGACGGUACCUCAGGAAUAAGUCUCGGCUAACUACGUGCCAGCAGCCGCGGUAAAACGUAGGAGGCGAGCGUUAUCCGGAUUUACUGGGCGUAAAGCGCACGCAGGCGGCUCUGUAAGUCGGACGUGAAAGCUCCCGGCUUAACCGGGAGAGGCCGUUCGAUACUGCGGGGCUUGAGGGAGGGAGAGGAGUGCGGAAUUCCCGGUGUAGUGGUAGAAUGCGUAGAUAUCGGGAGGAACACCUGUGGCGAAAGCGGCAUUCUGGCCCUCACCUGACGCUGAGGUGCGAAAGCGUGGGUA
rnacentral:rRNA from 1 species